rnacentral:rRNA from 1 species
GACGAACGCUGGCGGCGUGCUUAACACAUGCAAGUCGAACGGAAAGGCCCUGCUUUUGUGGGGUGCUCGAGUGGCGAACGGGUGAGUAACACGUGAGUAACCUGCCCUUGACUUUGGGAUAACUUCAGGAAACUGGGGCUAAUACCGGAUAGGAGCUCCUGCUGCAUGGUGGGGGUUGGAAAGUUUCGGCGGUUGGGGAUGGACUCGCGGCUUAUCAGCCUGUUGGUGGGGUAGUGGCUUAACAAGUCUUUGACGGGUAGCCGGCCUGAGAGGGUGACCGGCCACAUUGGGACUGAGAUACGGACCAGACUCCUACGCGAGGCAGCAGUGGGGAAUGUUGCACAAUGGGCGGAAGCCUGAUGCGGCAACCCCGCGUGCGGGAUGACGGCCUUCGGGUUGUAGACCGCUUUCGCCUGUGACGAAGCGUGAGUGACGGUAAUGGGUAAAGAAGCACCGGCUAACUACGUG